UUCUAGCCUCGUGAUUUACUGGAUCAUUCGAUUUCUUCUCCUUCUUCUCCUCGUGUCCAGUUCUCUGGAACCCCUCCCUCUGCCCACCGCUUCGCCGCCGUACCAGAGUAUAAUAGGGUCGUUCGCUUCCUUCUCCGUUUUAUCACACAUGCAUCUCCAGCUCCGAACCCCAGCGGCGUCGGCGCCCAUCUUCAUCGUUGGCAUGUGGUUGCCAUAGGUCGCCGUCGGGAUCCCAUCUUCCCUGCACCGUCCACCAUUGGGAACCACGCGCCGAGGCCAUGAACAAGGCGCGGUGGCAACAUAAAUAAGACCGCGGCAGGGUGGUGUUCCCGUCGUGGCCUGAGUUUUUCCUCGCAACCGAUCGAGUAGCUCCUCGACAUCUAUGAGGUCCCCCACCUUGGCCUCCAUCAGCAUCUCCAUCAGGUGCCUCUUGACGCCUCUGCAUGCCUUCUUCACGUCGGCGUCACCACAUGCGGCAGAAACGUCGCUGACGAUUUAUAAAUAUUGGUGGUAAUAGGUUUCGUUGGUGAUGCGAAUAUCGCGGCCGUGCCUAGCCGGGACGGUGGUAAUAGUGAGCUGAAGCUAUUGGCGCGGUGGCGGCGACGACGCCGGUCGUUCGUCAUCCUACCGAAUGUCUGGCGGAGCAGCUUCGACUUCGGCGGCUGCGAUAGCUACUGCGCCCUCGGCCGCCCCUUAAAGAGCACUAGCCCGCCGCUACACGGGUUGCACGGCAUGGUCCAUGUGCCGAGUUUUCGACCUCGACCGUGCCAAAUCUGUCGGUGGAGUUCUCUUACCUCACCCAGCAGUUUCUGUCUAUAGAUUUUCAUCAGCAAUCUGCGCAAUUGAAUCCGUAAUUAUCCAGCUAAAAUAGACUCAUGUUAUUACUGGCUUAACAGUCAACAAUUACUAUAUCUACAGUGGGUUCAGUGAGGUAGAUGUAUGGAACAUAUGGACAUGUAGUAAUCGGUAAUUAUGGUGUAGCAUAUUUGAGUCAAUUUGAUGUACUCCAUCCAUUUCUAAAUAUAAGUUUUUCUACUAGUCCAUGCCCUUUUUCUACUAAUGAUGAUUCAUCAUGAUUCGUCCUAGUGAUGUACUUCAAUAGCAAGAUUCACUCAUUUUUCUAGUAGAAAAAGGGCAUUUAGCUCCGGUUGAGUCAAUUUGGAUGUGUAGCAUAUUCACGAACUGGGACUAAUGGUCCAACCAAACCGGAGCUAAAUGCCCUUUUUCUACUAAUGAUGAUUCAUCCUACCAUGGACUUUGAUAAAUGGUACAAAGGGGAUACAACAACAUCCAAACACCGAAACAAUGAUCCAGUAUGUCACAUACUUUAAUAUGUCCAUACCGUAUCAGUCCUUGCCCUAGCUCUUCACCCAACUACUCCCUCCGUUUCUAAAUAGUAUAAGUCUUUAAAAAAGAUUCAUUAAUGGACUACAUACGAUUGUAUAUAGACACACUUUAGAGUAUAAAUUCACUCAUUUUACUCCGUAUGUAGACUUCU
rnacentral:lncRNA from 1 species